rnacentral:rRNA from 1 species
GACGAACGCUGGCGGCGUGCCUAAUACAUGCAAGUGGGACGCAAGGGAACACACUGUGCUUGCACACCGUGUUUUCUUGAGUCGCGAACGGGUGAGUAACGCGUAGGUAACCUGCCUAUUAGCGGGGGAUAACUAUUGGAAACGAUAGCUAAUACCGCAUAAUAUUAAUUAUUGCAUGAUAAUUGAUUGAAAGAUGCAAGCGCAUCACUAGUAGAUGGACCUGCGUUGUAUUAGCUAGUUGGUAAGGUAAGAGCUUACCAAGGCGACGAUACAUAGCCGACCUGAGAGGGUGAUCGGCCACACUGGGACCGAGACACGGCCCAGACUCCUACGGGAGGCAGCAGUAGGGAAUCUUCGGCAAUGGACGAAAGUCUGACCGAGCAACGCCGCGUGAGUGAAGAAGGUUUUCGAAUCGUAAAGCUCUGUUGUAAGUCAAGAACGUGUGUGAGAGUGGAAAGUUCACACAGUGACG